GAUGGACGCUGGCGGCGUGCCUAAUACAUGCAAGUCGAGCGAACGGACGAGAAGCUUGCUUCUCUGAUGUUAGCGGCGGACGGGUGAGUAACACGUGGAUAACCUACCUAUAAGACUGGGAUAACUUCGGGAAACCGGAGCUAAUACCGGAUAAUAUUUUGAACCGCAUGGUUCAAAAGUGAAAGACGGUCUUGCUGUCACUUAUAGAUGGAUCCGCGCUGCAUUAGCUAGUUGGUAAGGUAACGGCUUACCAAGGCAACGAUGCAUAGCCGACCUGAGAGGGUGAUCGGCCACACUGGAACUGAGACACGGUCCAGACUCCUACGGGAGGCAGCAGUAGGGAAUCUUCCGCAAUGGGCGAAAGCCUGACGGAGCAACGCCGCGUGAGUGAUGAAGGUCUUCGGAUCGUAAAACUCUGUUAUUAGGGAAGAACAUAUGUGUAAGUAACUGUGCACAUCUUGACGGUACCUAAUCAGAAAGCCACGGCUAACUACGUGCCAGCAGCCGCGGUAAUACGUAGGUGGCAAGCGUUAUCCGGAAUUAUUGGGCGUAAAGCGCGCGUAGGCGGUUUUUUAAGUCUGAUGUGAAAGCCCACGGCUCACCCGUGGAGGGUCAUUGGAAACUGGAAAACUUGAGUGCAGAAGAGGAAAGUGGAAUUCCAUGUGUAGCGGUGAAAUGCGCAGAGAUAUGGAGGAACACCAGUGGCGAAGGCGACUUUCUGGUCUGUAACUGACGCUGAUGUGCGAAAGCGUGGGGAUCAAACAGGAUUAGAUACCCUGGUAGUCCACGCCGUAAACGAUGAGUGCUAAGUGUUAGGGGGUUUCCGCCCCUUAGUGCUGCAGCUAACGCAUUAAGCACUCCGCCUGGGGAGUACGACCGCAAGGUUGAAACUCAAAGGAAUUGACGGGGACCCGCACAAGCGGUGGAGCAUGUGGUUUAAUUCGAAGCAACGCGAAGAACCUUACCAAAUCUUGACAUCCUUUGACAACUCUAGAGAUAGAGCCUUCCCCUUCGGGGGACAAAGUGACAGGUGGUGCAUGGUUGUCGUCAGCUCGUGUCGUGAGAUGUUGGGUUAAGUCCCGCAACGAGCGCAACCCUUAAGCUUAGUUGCCAUCAUUAAGUUGGGCACUCUAAGUUGACUGCCGGUGACAAACCGGAGGAAGGUGGGGAUGACGUCAAAUCAUCAUGCCCCUUAUGAUUUGGGCUACACACGUGCUACAAUGGACAAUACAAAGGGCAGCGAAACCGCGAGGUCAAGCAAAUCCCAUAAAGUUGUUCUCAGUUCGGAUUGUAGUCUGCAACUCGACUACAUGAAGCUGGAAUCGCUAGUAAUCGUAGAUCAGCAUGCUACGGUGAAUACGUUCCCGGGUCU
rnacentral:rRNA from 1 species